GCAAGGAACAAAGGCUAAGUUCGCCACAUCCUGUGGUAACGCCUUUGCUAGUACAUCCUGUA
rnacentral:sRNA from 1 species